rnacentral:misc_RNA from 1 species
GUGAUUUUCCUGCUGGUCCUACAGGAAGGUUCAGCAAUGGCAAGACCAUGGUUGAUGUACUUGCUCAGAAAGUUGGGUUGAAGGAUUACAUCCCACCUUUCAGAAAAGUUGGUAAUGGCACAGAAAUUCUCAAAGGUGUAAAUUAUGCAUCUGGUGCUGCAAUUAUGCAAGUGGAAACUGCAGGAAGCAAGGUCACUUCCAUUAGCCAACAAAUAAAUUUCCACAGGACAAUAGUCCGACGCA